UGCUCUGAUACGAGAGCUCCGGACUUUCAAUCCGUAGGUUGUGGGUUCGAGUCCCACGCGACCCA
rnacentral:tRNA from 1 species